UACUUACUGGUCAUGCCACGGCAGGAAUUACUGGGUGUAAAGGGAGUGUAGGCGACCCCUUAAGUUGAAUGUAAAAUCUCCCGGCUCAACUGGGAGGGGUCAUUCAAUACUGAGGGGAUUUGUGGGCAGGAGAGGGAAGUGGAAUUCCCGGUGUAGCGGUAAAAUGCGUAGAUAUCGGGAGGAACGCCAGUGGCGAAGGCGGCUUCCUGGUCUGUCCCUGACGCUGAGGCGCGAAAGCCAGGGGAGCAAACGGG
rnacentral:rRNA from 1 species